CGAAAGUGUUGUCAUUGUUAAAUAAAUUACGGAUGUGCGUCUUUGCGUCAAGGUCAUGAUUCUACAUAACAACAUCCGCUUGACCUCGCAAUGCCAAGAAGAAGAAAGGCGUGGAACAUUUGCUUAAGCCUGUUAAGAUCUUCAGCAGAUGUUUGAGAAAAAAGUCAUCAUCCUCUUCGUCACACUUCAUCCGUAUUUGGGGUAACAAGCACCUGCUUCCCACAAGAGACUGGACCGCUGAAGUCAGACCUGCACCUUCCUUGAACAUGUCGGUAUCUUACUCUGUAUUUGUUCACGGUGGUCACCCCAGGGUCUCAGGACUCAAAUUGAGUGCUCUAUGGAUUAAACAGAAAAUGCAGUAUAAACAAGUGUUAUGUUGUCUUGAACAUGUUGGUAACUUACUCUGUAUUUGUUCACGGUGGUCAUCCCAGGGUCUCAGGACUCAAAACGAUUGCUCUAUGGAUUGAACAUAAAAUGUAGUAUAAACAAGUGUUAAGUUAUGUCUUUAAAUGCCACUAAUAAUGUGUUUCUGUUUUCUUUCUCAUUAUGCUAACAAACGCUCUUUUACCCCUCAUGUUAGGUAGAUCAACACUCCAACCAUCUGCAUUAGGGACUGAAUAAAGGAUGCCCUCUGUAGCUGGGAAUGUUAGAUCAGGCGGAUCAACAUUCCAUCCAUCUGCAUUAGGAUCUACCUUAGAGACACUCACUGGAGCUGUAAAUGGGAAGCAGGUCACUUACUUUGCAUUCGUCCUUGGUGGUCACCCCAGGGUCUCUAGAGUGAAAAUUACUCAAUCUAUGGAUUAAACAGAAAAUUUAGUUGUAUGAAGUGGUAUGUUGUCUUUAAAUGCCAUUAAAAAUGUGUUUCUGUUUUCUGUCUCAUAUUAAGAAAUACUCUUUAACCUGCCCACUGGAGCUGGGAAUGCAAUUUGGGACAUUCUUCCAGUUGUCAGCAACUUUGUGAAAAAGGCUGGAAACUUAAAUGCAGAAUUCUGGCCUGGUGUUUGGUCUGUGCUGUCUUUGGCUCUUGCAUCUCCAUCAUCCUGACCCUCUUUAGCAGCCUGUCCAUGUAUUUAUUUGGAGGCCACCAUGAGCACCCAUCUGCAUAAUAUGACUUUGUUAC